rnacentral:tRNA from 1 species
GAGGGUAUAGCGCAGCGGGAGAGCGUCAGAUUGUGGCUCUGAAGGCCGUGGGUUCGAUCCCCACUACCCUCC